rnacentral:misc_RNA from 1 species
GUAGGUGAACCUGCGGAAGGAUCAUUAACACGUUCCAAACGUUAAACCAAACCCCUCUGUGAACUAUUGAAAACAAAUCCAACCUGGCCUCGAGCUGGGCUCUGGUAUUUUAACCAAAAAUCCUAGUGGUUUGUUGUGGGUAUGUAUUUACCUGCAGCACACCUCUAGGUCGCUGAAAGGCAUUCUGGUCUCACGAUCGGGGUGUCCCUCUGCGUGCUGCUCGGCUCCGUCGGGUGGUGCGGCACUUUUUCGAAGGUGCCAGCGCAGACAGCGUCCAACCCAACCAAACCCUUGAACCUAACUAUCUGAAACUCCUUAACUGGACAGGUCACGCUUGCGUGUCCCAAAAGUUAAACCAAACAAAAAACAACUCUUAACAACGGAUAUCUUGGUUCUC